UACGUAGGGUGCGAGCGUUGUCCGGAAUUAUUGGGCGUAAAGAGCUCGUAGGCGGUCUGUCGCGUCGGAUGUGAAAACCCAGGGCUCAACCCUGGGCCUGCAUUCGAUACGGGCAGACUAGAGUUCGGUAGGGGAGACUGGAAUUCCUGGUGUAGCGGUGAAAUGCGCAGAUAUCUGGAGGAAUACCGGUGGCGAAGGCGGCAUCCUGGACCGGCAUUGACGCUGAGGAGCGAAAGCCAGGGGAGCAAACGGG
rnacentral:rRNA from 1 species